rnacentral:rRNA from 1 species
UGGGGAAUAUUGCACAAUGGGCGCAAGCCUGAUGCAGCCAUGCCGCGUGUGUGAAGAAGGCCUUCGGGUUGUAAAGCACUUUCAGCGGGGAGGAAGGCGAUAAGGUUAAUAACCUUGUCGAUUGACGUUACCCGCAGAAGAAGCACCGGCUAACUCCGUGCCAGCAGCCGCGUUAAUACGGAGGGUGCAAGCGUUAAUCGGAAUUACUGGGCGUAAAGCGCACGCAGGCGGUCUGUCAAGUCGGGUGUGAAAUCCCCGGGCUCAACCUGGGAACUGCAUUCGAAACUGGCAGGCUAGAGUCUUGUAGAGGGGGGUAGAAUUCCAGGUGUAGCGGUGAAAUGCGUAGAGAUCUGGGGGAAUACCGGUGGCGAAGUCGGCCCCCUGGACAAAGACUUACGAUCAGGUGCGAAAGCGUGGGAAGCAAACAGG